GGCAGAGCAGGCAGGAAGUUUGGUGACUUGCCUGUGGUUCAUGAUGCCUGGAGGCAGGGGUGUCUGGAGGGAGCCUGAGCUCCUGGCCAUGGAUACCCUCCUCCUUCCUCAUGGCCGGGUGUUUGCUGUCCUGCUGGUGGCAGGUGCAUGGAGUGCAGACCUUCCCCUUACCUUUCCCUGGGGAGAGCCUGCUGUACCAGAUCCCACCCUGGCAAUGGACAGGCCACGUGUCCUUGGGGACAGGCUGAGGGUCAGCUACCGUGGGACUCUGGUGUCUGCCUCUUCGUGAGAACACAAGAGUUCCCGCAACACAGACGCUGACAUAGAGCCCGUGAGCCCAGCCCUACAAAGCUCUGAGCAGCCCCCUCCCCCUGAGACACGCCGUUCUAGGAAAAGGAUGGCAGGAAUCCCCCUGAGCCUCCGUCCUCUGCUCCAUCCCUCCUGCCAGGCUCCUCCCACCAGCACCUGCUUUUGCAGGAGACUCAGACAGGGAAGACUUCUGCAUCCCUUUUCUUUAUUACAUUUGAUGGAUGUAUUUGGUCCAGUCAGGGAGUAGGGUCCCAUUCUGAGGACACACGGAAAAUCAGGGAGCACUUUUGUCUUGGACUCUGCAGGU
rnacentral:lncRNA from 1 species